rnacentral:snoRNA from 14 species
CACCUCUCGUCUUGGCGCUUCCACUGGUGAAUGUGGUUGUGUAUGUUACGAGAGGAAAAGUAGUGCCUCGCGGCUUUCGGAUCUCCUUCGGUGUUGGUCUUGAAUUUCGACCAAUGUCAUCCUCUGGGUUCGAGACACUU